rnacentral:rRNA from 1 species
AGAGUUUGAUCCUGGCUCAGAUUGAACGCUGGCGGCAUGCCUUACACAUGCAAGUCGAACGGGCUUUGGGGCUUGCUCCAAAGUUAGUGGCGAACGGGUGAGUAAUAUAUCGGAACGUACCCUUGAGUGGGGGAUAACAUAGCGAAAGUUAUGCUAAUACCGCAUACGAUCUAAGGAUGAAAGUGGGGGACCGCAAGGCCUCACGCUCCUGGAGCGGCCGAUAUCUGAUUAGCUAGUUGGUAAGGUAAAGGCUCACCAAGGCUUCGAUCAGUAGCUGGUCUGAGAGGACGAUCAGCCACACUGGGACUGAGACACGGCCCAGACUCCUACGGGAGGC